CACACACACACAGGUUGGAAAGAUGGCUACGGGGUUAAGAACACCUGCUAUUCCAGAGGACCAGAGUUAAGUUCCCAGCACCCCAUCAUCAGGCAGCCAGCUACCAAAGGCGUGUAACUCUGGGUCUAGGGUACACAACGCCCUCUUCUGGAGUCCGUGGGUAUUUACGCUCACGUGCUCAAACAGACACAAACACAUCAUUUAAAGAAUUUUCCAAAACAAUCAUUUUUUUUUCCUAAAACUUGCAAAGGAUGCUAGUAGGUCCACGCAGCCUUAGCCAGCCGACCUGUAUAUGCCUUGACUCCGGGAGCCGGGCUCCGCAGGCCUCCAGCCUCGGGAGGAUGAAGCAGGACGGGGCCAGCUAAAGAGAGAGGUGAGCGGAGCUGGGGUGGCUGGGGGAGCCUGCUCACCGGUCGGACCAGCACGCCCGCGGGCCCCGGGUUCAGGGUCCCCGGUCCCGGCCCCCGCGAUCCCGACCCCGUCUCCUACUCACCGCCCGGCAGACCGGCGGCUCGAGCACGCGGACGGCCGCGGCCUGGCCCUGUUCACUCGCGGCGGCGCGCGGCGGGCCCCGGGCUGCCCCGCACCAUCCUCUCCGCCGCUCCGGGGACAGCGAGCCGCUCCUCCUCGGGGCCGAAGCGACGACCCGAAGCCAGACCAGAGCGCGCCGACGGGACGCCGGCUCCGCGCGCUGCGAACGCCCGGCCUUUCCGGGUGAAGGCAGAAAACCACGUCACCACAAACGCCGCCGUGACCUCUGACCCCCGCCCGCCGGCGACGGCGGCGCGGCAGGGACAGAAUUGCUCCCGGGCGAGCGGCGGGGGCGGGGGAGAGAGGUAGGCUGACUUCGUUUUGCAAAAGACGGAGCUGCCUGAAGUCUAUCACUCGCAUUCGCGGACUGCGGUGAGCUUGCUCGGUUCCGUCCCGAAGUGCUUCUGCAGGUCUUGGUGUGUAUGACGUGAGAUAGUAAAGAGGACACGAUUUUUCGUUUAUUUUUGUUGGGAGUUUUGUUUUGUUUUGACACAGGGGUCGCGCGGAUGGCAAGAGCAGGCUUCCUGUUCUCUAUGGAGCCCAUUGAGGAGCCAACUACCUUAGUCAUGGUGUCUGAGCACACUAAUAUCACUCUCCUCUCUGUAGACGGGACUCUAGGAUCCACUGUCGUGUCUCUGGACAACAGGACAUUUCAUUUCAAGCCAUGUCUCAGUCCCCUAAGACCUAGUUGACCUUAGAAGAAGCAAUAUAUUAUCCCUUUUUAAUCCCUCUAAGCACAUUAAUAUUGGCCUUCAUACAUGAUUAUUGAAAACCCAGGAGAUCAAUUACACUUAUCCAUUUGUCUGGUCUUGACGUUUUGUUUUGUUUUUUAAAGACAAGGUUGCUGGGCAGUGGGAAGGCUAUCCUUUGAUCCCAGAAUACAAAGAGUCAGAGGCAGGCAGAUCUCUGCAUUUGAGGCCAGCCUGGUCUGCCGAAUGAGUUCCAGGAAGCUGGGGCUACGCAAAGCCUGUCUUGAAAAAAAAACAAACCAACCAACAAACAAAAAAAGAUAAGGUCUUUCAGUCCAUCCCUGGCUGGCUUAAAACUCACUAUGUGACCCAAGCUGGUCUCAAACUCAGAGAACCAUAAGGGCUGGGAUUAAAGGUGUGCCGUGAGACAUGUGAGAAUUUUCUCCUUGGGUAAAGACUAUGCGAUGUUUAUCCCCUUUUCCUAAGGUCUCAGUGACUCACCAAAGUUCCCCCUGGAGAGCCAGUACAUUUAUCUGGCUUACUUACAGAGCAUAGGUGAGAGGUUACUAUCAGAAGUGUGGGUGACCUCAAAGUAACUACACGGGAAAGUCCUCACCCAGAAUGGACGAUGGCUUCCCCAUAGAUGUGUAAGUGGAACCCUGAUCCUUGUCUCCCCCCAGAACCUCAAGGCCAAAUAGUUGCCAGGGAAAUCAUAUAGAAGACAUCUGCAUGUGUAUGCCUGUGUGUGCACAGCAUGUGUGCGCUCUCGUUCCAGACGAUGAGCUACCACUGCUAUGCUUUUGGUUUUGAAUAAGUGCAAGGAGCAGGUAGAAAGGCAGAAAGACACAGUAAAAUGUGAUCAAAUCGAUGUUUAUAACAUCAAGCUUAGCUCAGGUAAGGAAGGUCUUAAAGCUAAGAGACUGGAAAAGCUACUGAGAGGUUUUUUUAGGCAGAGGGUCUUCUGUACUCUUUAUAAGGGCUGACUGACAAGUUAUUGUUAUUUUUAUUUAGUGCCUAUAAUCUGGCAAAUAUUGAAGUGGACUGAAUGAAAAUGAACCCCAUAGGCCCAUAUGCUUGAAUGCUUGGUCCCUAGUUAGAGGAACUGUUUGGGAAGGAUUAGGAGGUGUGGCCUUGUUGAAGGAGGUGUGUCACUGGGGGUGAUUUUGUGGUUUCAAAAGUCCAUGCCAGGCCCACUAUCAUCUCUCCCUACUUGCUGCCUAUAGAGCAGGGGGUAAAGCUCUCAGCUACUGCUCCAGCACCCUGCCUGUCAGCUUCCCUCCACGGUGAUCAUGAACUGACCCUCUGAAACUGUAAGCAACCCCCCCAAUUAAAGACUUUCUUUUAUAAGAGA
rnacentral:lncRNA from 1 species